rnacentral:pre_miRNA from 1 species
UAUGUACUCCCUCUGUUCAGAAUUACUUGUCUCAGAAAUGGAUGUAUCUAGAACUAAAAUACAUCUAGAUACAUCCAUUUCUGCAACAAGUAAUUCCGAACGGAGGGAGUACAUC